rnacentral:snRNA from 1 species
GGAUGUGAGGGUGAUCUGGCUGUGACAUCUGUCACCCCAUUGAUCACCAGGGUUGAUUCGGCUGAUCUGGCUGGCUAGGCGGUGGUCCCCUUCUUCCCUCACCGCUCCAUGUGCGUCCCUCCCGAGGCUGAGCGCUCGGUGGAAGAGGGCGACCAUCCCAGAUAGAAGGAGUGUACCAAUCUUCGGUCAAGGGUCAAAUAUUGACCCUAGCUACACUUGAUAACAGAAACUAAUUAAAGUUGUUUCUGGCCAGCAUUUGGAUGAAAAAUAUCAGGAAGUACAGAAAUAUUGAUUAAGUCGGAAU